rnacentral:rRNA from 1 species
UACGAGUGGUGCGAGCGUUGUUCGGAAUUACUGGGCAUAAAGAGCACGUAGGCGGUCUGGUAAGUCUGCUGUGAAAUCCCCCGGCUCAACCGGGGAACUGCAGUUGAUACUGCUGGGCUAGAGUGCGGGAGGGGAGAGCGGCAUUCCUGGUGGAGCGGUGAUAUGCGUAGAUAUCAGGAGGAACGCCGGAGGCGAAAGCGGCUCUCUGGUCCGUAACUGACGCUGAGGUGCGAAAGCUAGGGGAGCGAACAGG